UGGAUCUAGAGUCCGUGAAAAGCAUGUAUAUGGAAGUAUCUAUAACACUUCAUAAUGCAGUAACUAUCCCACUAUGAGUUGUGUGCUUAGGAAUAUCAAGUGGGUAUAGUCUGGUUCUAUUUAAUAAUUUCGGUUUACUGACCUUAUCUAUGUGGGAGAUCGAAACAUUGCACUUUUCUUAAUAAAUCUGCUGUUUAACCCCUUAAGGACCAAACUUCUGGAAUAAAAGGGAAUCAUGACAUGUCACACAUGUCAUGUGUCAUUAAG